GACGAACGCUGGCGGCGUGCUUAACACAUGCAAGUCGAACGGAAAGGCCCUGCUUUUGUGGGGUGCUCGAGUGGCGAACGGGUGAGUAACACGUGAGUAACCUGCCCUUGACUUUGGUAUAACUUCAGGAAACUGGGGCUAAUACCGGAUAGGAUCUCCUGCUGCAUGGUGGGGGUUGGAAAGUUUCGGCGGUUGGGGAUGGACUCGCGGCUUAUCAGCUUGUUGGUGGGGUAGUGGCUUACCAAGGCUUUGACGGGUAGCCGGCCUGAGAGGGUGACCGGCCACAUUGGGACUGAGAUACGGCCCAGACUCGUACGGGAGGCAGCAGGGGGGAAUAUUGCACAAUGGGCGGAAGCCUGAGGCAGCAACGCCGCGUGCGGGAUGACGGCCUUCGGGUUGUAAACCGCUUUCGCCUGUGACGAAGCGUGAGUGACGGUAAUGGGUAAAGAAGCACCGGCUAACUACGUG
rnacentral:rRNA from 1 species